AAAACUUUUAACAACGGAUCUCUUGGCUCCAGCAUCGAUGAAGAACGCAGCGAAACGCGAUAUGUAAUGUGAAUUGCAGAAUUCAGUGAAUCAUCGAAUCUUUGAACGCACAUGGCGCCUUCCAGUAUCCUGGGAGGCAUGCCUGUCCGAGCGUCGUUUCAACCCUCGAGCCCCAGUGGCCCGGCGUUGGGG
rnacentral:rRNA from 1 species